AUGGGCUUUUCUCACACAGGUGCGUCUUCCUCUGCUGCCGGUGGAUUUCCUCACAGCCACUGUUGCUAAAGAGGAGAUGAUCAAGGCCAAUUUGAGCUGCAGAGACCUUCUGGACGAAGCUCGGAAUUAUCAUCUGCAUCUUAGUAACAAGAGCGUUCCUGACUUUGAGUAUUCGAUCCGUACGACUCCCCGCAAGCACACCGCAGGUGUGUUGUUCUGCGUCGGGGGACGGGGCGGAUCCGGGGACCCCUUCCGCAGUAUCGAGUGUUACUCCAUCA